ACGGAAGGCAGCAGUGGGGAAUAUUGGACAAUGGAGGCAACUCUGAUCCAGCGACGCCGCGUGAGUGAAGAAGUAUUUCGGUAUGUAAAGCUCUAUCAGCAGGGAAGAUAAUGACGGUACCUGACUAAGAAGCCCCGGCUAACUACGUGCCAGCAGCCGCGGUAAUACGUAGGGGGCAAGCGUUAUCCGGAUUUACUGGGUGUAAAGGGAGCGUAGGCGGCCAGACAAGUCUGAUGUGAAAGCCCGGGGCUCAACCCCGGUACUGCAUUGGAAACUGUCGAACUAGAGUGUCGGAGGGGUAAGUGGAAUUCCUAGUGUAGCGGUGAAAUGCGUAGAUAUUAGGAGGAACACCAGUGGCGAAGGCGGCUUACUGGACGAUAACUGACGCUGAGGCUCGAAAGCGUGGGGAGCAAACAGGAUUAGAUACCCUGGUA
rnacentral:rRNA from 1 species